CGCGCAUGCGCGGUGGGGCCGGUGCGGUCCUGACUCGGGGUCAAGUCUGAGGCAGUUCUUGUUGCCUUGAGAGUUUGGUUUUGCAGAGGGUGGUUUUGUGCAGGUGACAGCUUCGGCCUGCCUUCCACACAUGAAUUCUUGAUAACUUUCCAGAGCCAGGUGAAAAGAGGCCAAUGUUAUACUAGGCGAAACCACUUGGAGAUAUGCCAGGUACUUCCUCCACUGAAGUCUUGAACCUCUCAAAGUCAGGGUUUCAACCAACUUCUUCCAGACUCCUGUUCAUGUUGAUAUUUUGAUCUCUUCCCAUGAAUCACAAAUGUUCUUGGCUCUAGAAUGAAUACUUUAGUGCCUUAAGUGGUACAUUCACAAGUGGAGUAGAGCUGUGAGGACCCUUUGGCAAGAAGUAACAUAGAUUCUCUUCCCUGGGAUGAUACUGAGCUCAUUGCCCUCAAACCCAGUCUUCCAUAUUCUAAGAGGACACUAGCAAUGACUCAGAUAGUGAGAUUCUGUUGGGGCUCUUUGUGCUUCCUGUAUGGAUUAGAUGAAGAUGGAAGGUUCUUUGGAGAAAUUACUUGAGAAGCCACAGGAAUUUGAAGAUAGGAUGUGUAAUCUAAAGAUGUCAGAGACACCUUAAGAUUUCUCAACAUCAAAACAUCAAGAACUUUAUUACUGAAGAAGAAGAGAAUCCAGAGGAUUCCUCUCACUUGUUACUUUUGGGGAUAUAAAAAUAAAUAGGAGAUGAUGAGGCUAUGGCAUUACUCUGAUUUUUUAACUUAAUUAGCUUUUAUUGGCAUGUAAUAUACAUA